UACGUAGGGUGCAAGCGUUAUCCGGAAUUAUUGGGCGUAAAGAGCUCGUAGGCGGUUUGUCACGUCUGCUGUGAAAACUGGAGGCUCAACCUCCAGCCUGCAGUGGGUACGGGCAGACUAGAGUGCGGUAGGGGAGAUUGGAAUUCCUGGUGUAGCGGUGGAAUGCGCAGAUAUCAGGAGGAACACCGAUGGCGAAGGCAGAUCUCUGGGCCGUAACUGACGCUGAGGAGCGAAAGCAUGGGGAGCAAACAGG
rnacentral:rRNA from 1 species